rnacentral:rRNA from 1 species
AUGGCGGCGGCUUCAGAUGCGUUUUCAUCUAUGAACCUUGGUUCUCAGGGUAAGGCAGAUGAUGAUCUUGGUGAUUUCUUUGAGAAGUUGGACCUCCAUGAGGAUGAAUUUGAGGAUGUGGUGGUAGAAGAGGAGGCACCCGAGCUAAUGGAAGAGAUCCCAUGGUUAGCCCUAGCUAGGGUUCAGACAAUGAAAAACUUUAGUCAGGCGGCCUUUUUCAAGGACAUGAGGGCUGCAUGGAACACGGCUAAGCCCGUGCGCUUUCGCCCCAUUGGAGCCAAUCUGUUCGUUGUUCAAGCUCAAUGCCUUGGCGAUUGGGAUCGUAUUAUGUCCCAAGGACCAUGGCUGUUCCAUAACAAGGCAGUAGUGCUAGCUCCCUAUGAUGGCUAUUCAGAGGCUGAGGAAGUACCAAUGGUGUUCAUGCCUAUU